GGGCAUUUGGCACAGUGGUAGCGCGCAUGCUUUGCAUCAUCGGGUGCUGCUUGCAUGAGGUCCAGGGUUCAAUCCCCUGAAUGUCCA